GUGCCAGCCGCCGCGGUAAUACCGGCAGCCCGAGUGAUGGCCGAUCUUAUUUGGCCUAAAGCGUCCGUAGCCGGCCUCGCAAGUCCGUCGGGAAAUCCAGUAGCUCAACUACUGGGCGUCCGGCGGAAACUACAAGGCUUGGGACCGGAAGGCUCGAGGAGUACGUCCGGGGUAGGAGUGAAAUCCCGUAAUCCCGCACGGACCACCGAUGGCGAAAGCACUCUGAGAAGACGGCUUCGACAGUGAGGGACGAAAGCUCGGGUCUCAAACCGGAUUAGAAACCCUAGUAGUCC
rnacentral:rRNA from 1 species